UUUAACGUCUGUACAUGUUUGUACCAUCUAUGCUUCCAUGCUAUUGGUUGGCGUCAACAUAGCCACCCCCCUUUUUAUGUAGUGUCUGCGCUAGGCUGUACGUAGUCCUACUGUGAUCAUGUGGGUUCUUACGUAGCUAUCAUUUAGUAUUUGGGACAGUCCAUUUGUGUGGGGGAGAGCCACUUGUGCGGUUUAUCCGGUAUCACACUCCAGUCCAGUAGGUGGCGGUGAUGCACCUAUAGGGCCUACCUUGUUUGCUAACUGCCAUUAAAAGAACCAAAGAAGACGAACACGUUGUGUGUGAUUUCGAAUUCUGGUGGAGGCAGAGCUCAGAAAAUGACGACCACAAACUUUCUGAACAAUUGUGCCCAGACUUUUGCAGAAUGUACUCGACUUUUAUCUUCAGAUGACCAGGAUUCCAUACAGACUAUUCUAACCAGGUUAGGGAUCAUGGCGACGAGCGUUCGCUGGAGCAGAGGGCGACUGCUUCAAUCUGAAGUGGUUGAUGAGAUGCUUUUGCUCAUUAGCGAGUUAAUUCGAGAAGCUAACGAUCAACAACAACAACCUGUUGCUUCUGGUUUCACCGUACCUCGAAUGGGAGGACAGACUGGAGGAAGGCCGGUUUACCAAAUCGCCCAAGAGCAGUUGCAGAUGUUGUUGUCCUUUAACUUCUCUGCUAAACAGAUUGCGGAGAUCUUGGGUGUCUCAAGAAGAACAGUGAACCGACGGUGACGACAGUACAAAUUUAUCUUUUAGAGGUCGCUACACGGAUCUAACAGAUGAUGCUCUUGAUCUGAAGGUGCUGCUAUUCGGAGUAUUUCCCACAGGCUUCGGAGGAGAACAUAUCGAGUGGCAGAGUCCAUUUCGCUGUGGCAUCUUGAUGGCAACCACAAGCUCAUAAAGUAAGUGGCUUGUUUUACUGUGAUUCGUUCUUUUGCCCUAACUGUGUCCCUAACUGUGUCCCUAGCCAAUGACAAGCUGAUUAUUUUAUGAGUUUUGAAUUGAAAAUGAGAUUUUCUGCUUCACAUGAAUGCAAUAGAGGUGGAGGAUUGUAAUCCAUGGAGGAAUCGAUGGGUUCAGCCGACUGGUGGUUUUCCUGAAGGCUUCUAACAACAACAGAAGUGACAUUGUAAUGGACCUGUUUUUGGAAGGAGUCGCCCAGUUUGGUGUCCCAUCCAGAGUCAGAUGUGACUAUGGAGGGGAAAACGCCAUUUGUCUCUUCAUGGAUGUCUUCUGAGGAUCAACCCGAGGGAGUGCUUUAAGAGGGAUGAGCACUCAUAAUCAACGCAUUGAAAGACUGUGGGGCGAUGUCUGGAGAGGCGUGACAAAAAAAACGCAAGGUCCUACACAGUGUGGUCAGGUCUGCUGAGUUUAUCAUUGGCAGGCCACCACUAGCCACUUUACAUUGAUGCAUUUCUCACUAGUCACUUUACACACUGUCACUUUCAGCUACUGGUUGCACUAUCAGCAAUAUUGCACUAACUGUACCCCACUUGUCUUAGGUUAGUAUAGGUCUAAGGUUAGUAUAGGUCAUUAUCUGUAUUAUAGGUCUAAUAUAUUGUAUACUAUUUUGUAUAUUUAGGAGGUUUAUAAUUUGUUAUUAUCAUUUCUUUUAGCUUAUCAUAGAUGUAAUCUAAGUACUUAUUAUGUUAUUUCAGGUUGCUUUGCAUUGACUUGUCCCAAAAAUGUCAGUGCCCUGUCUGACUUUGUGGUGUUAUGUGUACCUGACAAUAAGACUCGAAACAGAUGUCUACCACUCCUUGUUUACAUAUCUAUAGAGAAAAUGAAGGAAUCAUUAUUGCCAACAACGAAAGGCAUCUUUGGGCUCUUCACUUCGUUUACCUGCCUCGUAUAAAACGUGACCUUGGAUUGUUUUGCAAUCAAUGGAAUCACCACCUACUGAGGACUGCCAGAUACAUGUCCCCAUAUCAGAUUUUUGUGCAAGCUUGUCUUGACACAACAGUUGCAACAUCAGACUGGUAUCCAAGGUAUAUUUGGAGCAGCCAGUUCCAGGGGGUGGCCGACCAGGGGGCGGCUGCACUUGCCUUUGACUGGCUACAGAGUUGUGGUUCCUCUAAACCAAUUUCAACCAAGUGACGAACAGUUGGAACACCUCAGGCAACACACAAUCCUUUGGGUGGAGAUAGAGACAGUUUGGGAACUGAUCAGGUCCUCAAUGUCCUGUCUUAAAUACAGUGCACACACACAUCAUUUAACUGUUGUAAUCAUAUUGUCGAUAGGCCUUGGAAUGAGUAAGCAGUCUCAAUCAUGUCAAUGUAAUAAAGAUG